rnacentral:lncRNA from 1 species
GUAGAUCCACUGCCUUUGGUUGGGCCGGCUGAAUCGCUGGGGACUGCGGCCAGUCUCUUAAAAAGGAGAACAAAAAGCCGAAGACCUUGUGUGGCCGCCGGGACAAAGCACUUUGGGUUCGGCGAGAAGGGACGCGCAGGAGCGCUGAACCCAGAACACGCGUGGCCGCUGCGGAAGGGCGUCCGCCGGGCGUGCGGAACGCUGAGGGGACUCUCAUCCUCUGUCUCGCCCCCUUUUUUUGACCCGGGGAUCCAGCCGCAUUAUACAUGAGUGACCUUUUAAAUCUACGUCCACCCUUUACCUGCGAGAGGACUGCAGCAGGCGAGUUCCGGAAGGCUGAAUCCCCAGGUCCCAGCCCCGGACCGCGGCAACUCGCCCCUGCGGCACGCCCGGCCCGGCUGCGCCCCCACUCAGCGAUGGAGGAAAAAGCCUGGAUGCGAAAGGAUGGGGGAGAACAAAGAGCCUUUGGAAGACGUCGCUGUUAUCUCAUUGUCUGUGUGAUUGGGGGAGCUGCGGCGGGGAGGAUGCUGUGGUCCCUUCCUCCGGCGCUCCCCACCCCCAUCCCUCUCCCCGCUGUCAGUGCGCACGCACACGCGCCGCUUUUUAUUUCUUUUUCCUGGUUUUCUUAUUCCAUCUUCUACCCACCCCUCUUCCUUUCUUUCACCUUUCCUUCCUUCCUUCCUCCUUUCCUUCCUCAGGAGAAAGGCCUCUCUCU